rnacentral:rRNA from 1 species
UAAGGAAUAUUGGUCAAUGGACGCAAGUCUGAACCAGCCAUGCCGCGUGGAGGAUGAAGGUCCUCUGGAUUGUAAACUUCUUUUAUCUGGGACGAAACACUUCUUUUCUAAGAGGCCUGACGGUACCAGAUGAAUAAGCACCGGCUAACUCCGUGCCAGCAGCCGCGGUAAUACGGAGGGUGCAAGCGUUAUCCGGAUUCACUGGGUUUAAAGGGUGCGUAGGUGGGUAUGUAAGUCAGUGGUGAAAUCCCCGAGCUUGACUUGGGAACUGCCAUUGAUACUAUAUAUCUUGAAUACCGUAGAGGUAAGCGGAAUAUGUCAUGUAGCGGUGAAAUGCUUAGAUAUGACAUGGAACACCAAUUGCGAAGGCAGCUUACUAUGCGGUGAUUGACACUGAGGCACGAAAGCGUGGGUAGCAAACA